AUGACAUCCUUGAGUGUGUCACUAGUGGUCCUGUGGCUUCAGUUAAACUGGGUGAGCUGCAAGCAGAAGGUGCAACAGGACCCAGAAUCCCUCAGUGUCCCAGAGGGAUCCAUAGCUUCUCUCAACUGCACUUUCACUGAUUCUAGUUCUCAGUACUUCUGGUGGUUCAGACAGCAUCCCGGGCAAGGCCCCAAGGCACUGAUGUCCAUCUUCUCCAAUGGUGACAAGGAAGAAGGCAGAUUCACAGCUCACCUCAAUAGAGCCAGCCUGUAUGUUUCCCUGCACAUCAGAGACUCUCAGCCCAGUGACUCAGCUGUCUACCUCUGUGCAGUGAGCACACAGUGCUCUCCAGGCACCUGCAGCCUGCACCCAAACCUACUGUGCCCUUCAAGGCCCGAGGGAGGGGACAGAGCACACAGUGGAGAAAUUAUGUUUCUAUUUCAUAUGCAAAGGAAAUUAAGGCCAGGGGUAGAGAAGGCUCGAGUCAUUGGAAAAAUAUUUUGA